rnacentral:rRNA from 1 species
GCGCAAGCUUCCACGGAGCGAACGCCGCGAUGAGGGAGGAAGGCCUUAGGGUUGUAAACCUCUUUUCUCUGGGAAGAAGAACUGACGGUACCAGAGGAAUAAGCCUCGGCUAACUCCGUGCCAGCAGCCGCGGUAAGACGGAGGAGGCAAGCGUUAUCCGGAAUUAUUGGGCGUAAAGCGUCCGCAGGCGGUUUUUUAAGUCUGUUGUCAAAGGUCACAGCUCAACUGUGGAUCGGCAAUGGAAACUGGAGAACUUGAGUGUGGUAGGGGUAGAGGGAAUUCCCGGUGUAGCGGUGAAAUGCGUACGAUAUCGGGAAGAACACCAGUGGCGAAGGCGCUCUACUGGGCCACAACUGACGCUGAGGGACGAAAGCUAGGGGAGCAACUGG